rnacentral:rRNA from 1 species
GACGAACGCUGGCGGCGUGCUUAACACAUGCAAGUCGAACGAGACGAUUGAAAGCUUGCUUUUGAAAGUCGAGUGGCAAACGGGUGAGUAACGCGUAGACAACCUGCCUUUGAGAUGGGGACAACAGUUCGAAAGGACUGCUAAUACCGAAUGUUGUAUAUUUUCCACAUGGAAGAUAUAUUAAAGAUGGCCUCUAUUUAUAAGCUAUCGCUCAAAGAUGGGUCUGCGUCUGAUUUGCUGGUUGGUGGGGUAACGGCCUACCAAGGCGACGAUCAGUAGCCGGUCUGAGAGGAUGAACGGCCACAUUGGGACUGAAACACGGCCCAGACGCCUACGGGAGGCAGCAGUGGGGAAUCUUCCACAAUGGACGAAAGUCUGAUGGAGCAACGCCGCGUGAGUGAAGAAGGGUUUCGGCUCGUAAAGCUCUGUUGUCGGGGACGAAUGUGCAGUAUUUGAAUAAAGUACUGCAAUGACGGUACCUGACGAGGAAGCCACGGCUAACUACGUGCCAGCAGCCGCCGUAA